rnacentral:rRNA from 1 species
AGAGUUUGAUCCUGGCUCAGGAUGAACGCUGGCGGCGUGCUUAACACAUGCAAGUCGAACGAAGCACUUUAUUUGAUUUCUUCGGAAUGAAGAUUUUGUGACUGAGUGGCGGACGGGUGAGUAACGCGUGGGUAACCUGCCUCAUACAGGGGGAUAACAGUUGGAAACGACUGCUAAUACCGCAUAAGCGCACAGGGUCGCAUGACCUGGUGUGAAAAACUCCGGUGGUAUGAGAUGGACCCGCGUCUGAUUAGCCAGUUGGUGGGGUAACGGCCUACCAAAGCGACGAUCAGUAGCCGACCUGAGAGGGUGACCGGCCACAUUGGGACUGAGACACGGCCCAAACUCCUACGGGAGGCAGCAGUGGGGAAUAUUGCACAAUGGGGGAAACCCUGAUGCAGCGACGCCGCGUGAGCGAAGAAGUAUUUCGGUAUGUAAAGCUCUAUCAGCAGGGAAGAAGAAAUGACGGUACCUGACUAAGAAGCACCGGCUAAAUACGUGCCAGCAGCCGCGGUAAUACGUAUGGUGCAAGCGUUAUCCGGAUUUACUGGGUGUAAAGGGAGCGCAGGCGGUACGGCAAGUCUGAUGUGAAAGCCCGGGGCUCAACCCCGGUACUGCAUUGGAAACUGUCGGACUAGAGUGUCGGAGGGGUAAGUGGAAUUCCUAGUGUAGCGGUGGAAUGCGUAGAUAUCGGGAGGAACACCAGUGGCGAAGGCGGCCUACUGGGCACCAACUGACGCUGAGGCUCGAAAGUGUGGGUAGCAAACAGGAUUAGAUACCCUGGUAGUCCACACAGUAAACGAUGAAUACUCGCUGUUUGCGAUAUACAGUAAGCGGCCAAGCGAAAGCAUUAAGUAUUCCACCUGGGGAGUACGCCGGCAACGGUGAAACUCAAAGGAAUUGACGGGGGCCCGCACAAGCGGAGGAACAUGAGGUUUAAUUCGAUGAUACGCGAGGAACCUUACCCGGGCUCAAACGACAGGGGAAUAAUCCCGAAAAGGAUUAGCCAGCAAUGGUCGCUGUCGAGGUGCUGCAUGGUUGUCAUCAGCUCGUGCCGUGAGGUGUCGGCUUAAGUGCCAUAACGAGCGCAACCCUUACCGGUAGUUACUAACAGGUCAAGCUGAGGACUCUACCGGGACUGCCAGCGCAAGCUGUGAGGAAGGUGGGGAUGACGUCAAAUCAGCACGGCCCUUACGUCCGGGGCGACACACGUGUUACAAUGGCAGGUACAGAGAGUCGCGACGUAGCAAUACGUAGCCAAUCCCGAAAACCUGUCUCAGUUCGGAUCGGAGUCUGCAACUCGACUCCGUGAAGCUGGAUUCGCUAGUAAUCGCGCAUCAGCCAUGGCGCGGUGAAUACGUUCCCGGGCCUUGCACACACCGCCCGUCA